rnacentral:rRNA from 1 species
GUGGGGAAUAUUGGACAAUGGGCGCAAGCCUGAUCCAGCCAUGCCGCGUGAGUGAUGAAGGCCUUAGGGUUGUAAAGCUCUUUCACCGAUGAAGAUAAUGACGGUAGUCGGAGAAGAAGCCCCGGCUAACUUCGUGCCAGCAGCCGCGGUAAUACGAAGGGGGCUAGCGUUGUUCGGAUUUACUGGGCGUAAAGCGCACGUAGGCGGAUCGUUAAGUCGGGGGUGAAAUCCUGGAGCUCAACUCCAGAACUGCCUUCGAUACUGGCGAUCUUGAGUCCGGAAGAGGUGAGUGGAACUCCUAGUGUAGAGGUGGAAUUCGUAGAUAUUAGGAAGAACACCAGUGGCGAAGGCGGCUCACUGGUCCGGUACUGACGCUGAGGUGCGAAAGCGUGGGGAGCAAACAGGAUUAGAUACCCGUGUAGUCC